rnacentral:misc_RNA from 1 species
UUUCCGUAGGUGAACCUGCGGAAGGAUCAUUGCAAUACGUUCCACACGUAUAAACCAAACAGUUGAACUGAAAACGUCCGAUAGGAAGACUUUCAAAGUGGGUGAAUGGCCGGCGGCUUAGAGGUGGAUUCACAAAUAUCAAACUCGACAUUUUCCUUUGCGGGAGAAGUUGGUUUGAGGUGAUCAAAAGUGCCUCGGUCGGUCUGUUUGUGUGUUUUACACACAAGCGCCCCGUUUUCCUAGUUCGCGUAUUUAUCCAUUUCAUACACUUUUGUAUCGCCUUUUUUCAUUUUUUAACCCAUUUCACCUUUUAUUUCAACAAAAUUUGAACUGAAAUCGUGUUGUCUUAACCGACGACUACGACGAUAUUACGAAACUUAAGAACAACUCUUAACAACGGAUAUCUUGGCUCUC